UACGUAGGUGGCAAGCGUUGUCCGGAAUGACUGGGCGUAAAGGGUACGUAGGUGGCUAUUCAAGUUAGUAGUGAAAUCCCGGGGCUUAACUCCGGUGCUACUACUAAGACUGUUUAGCUUGAGUGCAGGAGGGGUAAGUGGAAUUCCUAGUGUAGCGGUGGAACGCGUAGAUAUUAGGAGGAACACCAGUGGCGAAGGCGACUUACUGUACUGUAACUGACACUGAAGUACGAAAGCGUGGGGAGCAAAC
rnacentral:rRNA from 1 species